AGCAGUAGCCGCGGGAAUACGUAGGGUGCGAGCGUUAAUCGGAAUUACUGGGCGUAAAGCGUGCGCAGGCGGUUUUGUAAGACAGAGGUGAAAUCCCCGGGCUCAACCUGGGAACUGCCUUUGUGACUGCAAGGCUAGAGUACGGCAGAGGGGGAUGGAAUUCCGCGUGUAGCAGUGAAAUGCGUAGAUAUGCGGAGGAACACCGAUGGCGAAGGCAAUCCCCUGGGCCUGUACUGACGCUCAUGCACGAAAGCGUGGGGAGCAAACAGGAUUAGAGACCCGUGUAGUCCCUGUCUCUUAUAA
rnacentral:rRNA from 1 species